AAAUUACUCCCUCCAUCCCAAAAUUCUUGUCUUAGAUUUGUCUAGAUACGGAUGUAUCAAGUCACAUUUUAGUAUUAGAUACACCCGUAUCUAGACAAAUCUAAGACAAGAAAUUUGGGACAGAGGGAGUAGUUG
rnacentral:pre_miRNA from 1 species